GCCACUUUUUUUUAAAAUAUAGGGCCUUUCCUAAUUGUAUUGUUAAGUAGAAUUUAUGUUUCAAGGAAUUUUGAUGAGAAAAAGUAACUUUAGAAAAAGUGUGACAAAAAAUCAAAACUGUUUCCAAACCUGAUUGAAGAAUGUUUCGUUGUGGAAAUUGCAUUUUAAAAAUUAAUUUAUCAAAUCAGAAAUCAUGAAUCUCGUGAAUUUCUUGGAAUUUUUUUUGUAAACUGAUUUUUUGUAAUCAAAUAAUGAAGGAAAUUAUUUAUUUUCUUGUUACCAGAUAUUUUGGUCAUUUUAAAAUGGGGGAAGGGGGAAAUUUAACAGAGAUUUAUUUCUACUUAGACAAUUAUGUCUAUCAAAAAUAUAUUGUGUAUGAUCUUGAUUCAAUCCUAUGUGAUAGGUCUUGUUGUAUUUUGGCACUCUUAUAUAUAAUUACCUAUACCUUUUUAUUAAGGUUGAUCAUUUUAUUCUUGUUAUCAGCAUUUGCACUCGUCUUUUACAUAUUCAUCAAAUGUCAUUCAUUAACUUACUGUUGAGAGGGUUUCUUUUUUUGUAUUCCAUUAUGCUCAAAUCUUCCAUUGUUUAUGUAUAAAGAUGGGCAGGUACAAUGUACGUCUGCUGAUGGUGUUCAGAAGGUUUGCUAGUCAUCAUUUUAUUUGGGUUUCGUUUUAAGUUGUCAAAAAUUGUCUGUUUUUUUUUAGUGGACAGUUACUGUUCAUUUUAACAUGUCAAAAUUUUUGUGUUUUUAUUAAGUUUAAAAACUUAAAAAAACAUUUGAAAAAUCAUGAAACUUAAACAAAACAAAAAUCUGUUCUGAAUAUCAUAACUGAGCAGUUGAGCAGUUUUAGUUUUUGUAGAUUUUAAGUUACGGGUUUGAAUUUAAGUAUAAAAUUUCAUACUAAGGACAUGGAUGAAAAUGUAGCAAGAUAUCUAGAGCAAGCUGCUGUCACCUGUAGUUUCUUGUGUUCAUUAGUGGAGGUGCUGGAGUUUAGUAUAAAGUAUGGGUGAUGCCAAAGUUUUUUUCCACUACGAAUAGGUCAACUGCUGUCUAUGCAAACCUGUACUGAAAAACAAUAGUGCAAUAGACAUUACACAGUUAUUCAGAAAAUCAUGUAUCAAAUGUAAAUUGUGCUAACCUUGCUGGCUCAUUUGAUCUGGUCAAAUGCCAAUUUGCAAGAAAGUCAUAUUAUUAGAAAAUGUAACAAAUGAGGUAAAAUUCUUUUCAAAGAUCAGCCUUCAAUUUUGGAAUUCUUUUAGAUUUUCUGUUUUGACAGUAAAUUACCACUUAAAUGAGCCAUAGGUUUCCACACAUAAAACUUACAUGUACUCUAAAAAAAAAUCUUAUGUGUUCAGUUAAAAAAAUAUUUGAGAAUAGCAAUUUUUUUUCUUUUUUAUUGAUGCUUUUUGUUUCAUUAUGUUUAUGACGCAAUUGUAUUCUUGACUCAUUAAUCAAAUGUAUGAGGUUUUGGCGAGAACUUUUUUGUUAUUCCUAUGUUCAAUGAUAAACUUAGCAAAUGCCUGAUUUGGUGUUCAGAAAAAGGUGACUGUAUGUGCAAUGGAAAUCAGGCUAUUUUGCUGGACAAUGCAGUUUUGUUUAUUAUUGUACACAUGUAAAGUUUCUUAAUAAAGAGAAAAACCUGAAAGUUC
rnacentral:sRNA from 1 species